rnacentral:rRNA from 1 species
GACGAACGCUGGCGGCGUGCCUAAUACAUGCAAGUCGAACGCAGUGGGGACGGGUGAGUAACACGUGGGUAACCUCCCAUCAGAGGGGAUAACACUUGGAAACAGGUGCUAAACCGAUAUCGAUGGAUGGACCCGCGGUGCAUUAGCUAGUUGGUGAGGUAACGGCUCACCAAGGCCAAGAUGCAUAGCCGACCUGGGAGAGGGAUCGGCCACACUGGAACUGAGCCACGGCCAGUGCGCCUGCGGGAGGCAGCAGUAGGGAAUCUGGGGCAAUGGACGAAAGUCUGACCGAGCAACGCCGCGUGAGUGAAGAAGGUUUUCGGAUCGUAAAACUCUGUUGUUAGAGAAGCGGUAUCUAACCAGAAAGCCACGGCUAACUACGUGCCAGCAGCCGCGGUAAUUC